UUAGUACAGUGGUUAGUACUCUUGACAUUGAAAUAAGAGUUGUGGGUUCAAUUCCCACA
rnacentral:tRNA from 1 species